CAUCAGCCUCCAUCACUGGCCGGGUGUCGGAGGAGCCCCGAGCUCCCCGGCUGCCGAGCCAAGGGAGCCGGCUGCUCCAUCAACCCGCACUCCGCGGGCGCACCGAGGCUCGGAGGUGCGUUUGUUUGCAGGAUGCCGCUGCUCGCACCUCACCCGACGCCGGCAAUCUGCACAUGUGCCCUGCCCCGUGUACGUGGAGCCAGACGUGAGCCACCUCAUGGGGCCCGGCCAGCAUUGCAAUCUGGUUUUGCCCUCUCAGGGCCCCCUUAUCUUUCACUCAUCAUAGAAGUUUAGAGCAGGUGCUGAAAUUUUUAGAUGCCUUUUAAAGAUUCCACUCCAGGGAACUGGUUACCAUGGAAAGGGCUUGCCAAUGGACAUGGGUGUGGUCUUGUAUCCAUUAAAUUCAUUGCAAAGGAGAAACAAAAUGCUUUCCAGAUGCAGCCCUCAUGAAAAGCAGAGAUGACCAGCCACUCUCCAGUCCAUGCUGGGCCAGGUCACUUAGCUCACCCUGGGCAAGCAGCCAGCUCUGUCCCAUAGCAUCAUUUUCUUUCUCUCCUUCAAAAAUUAAAAUAUAGAAUGAAUUUACCUCACAUGAAAUUUAAAAUCUCUGAGCAGCCUGAGUGGUCAUUUCUAAAAUAUCUCAAGUCUCACACUAAACAGUAAUUUCAGUUGUUACUUAAACCUGUGUGGAAAAUUAAAAAAUGUGCUGAGCAAAUCCUAAAGCUUUUGAAACUUGGAAGAAAACAGUUUUCCUAGUCUCCCAGCUGGUAGAUCAUUGCUGGAUUGCAGUGCUUGCUGCAGUG